AUGCAUCUCUGACAGACCUGGAGCAGUUAAUAUCUGCUGCUAAUGUUUCUACUACAGAUGCAAAACAAGAAGGUCCUCGUGCUUUCUGUCUGCCCAGUUGUGGCAGCCAAGACUGAAAGGGGGAAUAAAGGA
rnacentral:snoRNA from 1 species